UGGGGAUAGUACAAGAUGCCGCCCAGCG
rnacentral:piRNA from 1 species